rnacentral:rRNA from 1 species
GACGAGUGGCGGACGGGUGAGUAAUGUCUGGGGAUCUGCCCGAUAGAGGGGGAUAACCACUGGAAACGGUGGCUAAUACCGCAUAACGUCGCAAGACCAAAGAGGGGGACCUUCGGGCCUCUCACUAUCGGAUGAACCCAGAUGGGAUUAGCUAGUAGGCGGGGUAAUGGCCCACCUAGGCGACGAUCCCUAGCUGGUCUGAGAGGAUGACCAGCCACACUGGAACUGAGACACGGUCCAGACUCCUACGGGAGGCAGCAGUGGGGAAUAUUGCACAAUGGGCGCAAGCCUGAUGCAGCCAUGCCGCGUGUAUGAAGAAGGCCUUCGGGUUGUAAAGUACUUUCAGCGGGGAGGAAGGCGAUGCGGUUAAUAACCGCGUCGAUUGACGUUACCCGCAGAAGAAGCACCGGCUAACUCCGUGCCAGCAGCCGCGGUAAUACGGAGGGUGCAAGCGUUAAUCGGAAUUACUGGGCGUAAAGCGCACGCAGGCGGUCUGUUAAGUCAGAUGUGAAAUCCCCGGGCUUAACCUGGGAACUGCAUUUGAAACUGGCAGGCUUGAGUCUUGUAGAGGGGGGUAGAAUUCCAGGUGUAGCGGUGAAAUGCGUAGAGAUCUGGAGGAAUACCGGUGGCGAAGGCGGCCCCCUGGACAAAGACUGACGCUCAGGUGCG